GUCCCUGUAACGCAAUGGAUAGCGCGCUGAACUUCUAAUACAAAUGUCGUGGGUACGAAUCCCACCUGGGAUG